rnacentral:rRNA from 1 species
UACGUAGGUGGCAAGCGUUAUCCGGAUUUAUUGGGCGUAAAGAGAACGCAGGCGGUCUUUUAAGUCUGAUGUGAAAGCCUUCGGCUUAACCGGAGUAGUGCAUUGGAAACUGGGAGACUUGAGUGCAGAAGAGGAGAGUGGAACUCCAUGUGUAACGGUGAAAUGCGUAGAUAUAUGGAAGAACACCAGUGGCGAAAGCGGCUCUCUGGUCUGUAACUGACGCUGAGGUUCGAAAGCGUGGGUAGCAAACAGG